rnacentral:rRNA from 1 species
UACGGAGGGUGCGAGCGUUGUCCGGAUUUAUUGGGUUUAAAGGGUGCGUAGGUGGCUUUUAAGUCAGUGGUGAAAUACAGCCGCUCAACGGUUGAGGUGCCAUUGAUACUGAAGAGCUUGAAACAAGUGGAGGCUGCCGGGAAUGGAUGGUGUAGCGGUGAAAUGCAUAGAUAUCAUCCAGAACACCGAUUGCGAAGGCAGGUGGCUACGUUUUGAUUUGACACUGAGGCACGAAAGCAUGGGGAGCAAACAGG